GAGCAUGGGUGCUGGGUCGAUGACAAUGA
rnacentral:piRNA from 1 species